rnacentral:rRNA from 1 species
UAGGGAAUCUUCCGCAAUGGGCGAAAGCCUGACGGAGCAACGCCGCGUGAGUGAUGAAGGUCUUCGGAUCGUAAAACUCUGUUAUUAGGGAAGAACAAAUGUGUAAGUAACUAUGCCCGUCUUGACGGUACCUAAUCAGAAAGCCACGGCUAACUACGUGCCAGCAGCCGCGGUAAUACGUAGGUGGCAAGCGUUAUCCGGAAUUAUUGGGCGUAAAGCGCGCGUAGGCGGUUUUUUAAGUCUGAUGUGAAAGCCCACGGCUCAACCGUGGAGGGUCAUUGGAAACUGGAAAACUUGAGUGCAGAAGAGGAAAGUGGAAUUCCAUGUGUAGCGGUGAAAUGCGCAGAGAUAUGGAGGAACACCAGUGGCGAAGGCGACUUUCUGGUCUGUAACUGACGCUGAUGUGCGAAAGCGUGGGGAUCAAACAGG